CUGAACCAGCCAAGUAGCGUGAAGGAUGACUGCCCUACGGGUUGUAAACUUCUUUUAUAUGGGAAUAAAGUUGUCCACGUGUGGAUUUUUGUAUGUACCAUAUGAAUAAGGAUCGGCUAACUCCGUGCCAGCAGCCGCGGUAAUACGGAGGAUCCGAGCGUUAUCCGGAUUUAUUGGGUUUAAAGGGAGCGUAGGCGGAUUGUUAAGUCAGUUGUGAAAGUUUGCGGA
rnacentral:rRNA from 1 species